AGAUUAAACAUAAGAGUUUGAUCCUGGCUCAGAUUGAACGCUGGCGGCAUGCUUUACACAUGCAAGUCGAACGGCAGCACGGAGAGCUUGCUCUCUGGUGGCGAGUGGCGAACGGGUGAGUAAUGCAUCGGAACGUACCGAGUAAUGGGGGAUAACUGUCCGAAAGGAUGGCUAAUACCGCAUACGCCCUGAGGGGGAAAGCGGGGGAUCUAAGGACCUCGCGUUAUUUGAGCGGCCGAUGUUGGAUUAGCUAGUUGGUGGGGUAAAGGCCUACCAAGGCGACGAUCCAUAGCGGGUCUGAGAGGAUGAUCCGCCACAUUGGGACUGAGACACGGCCCAAACUCCUACGGGAGGCAGCAGUGGGGAAUUUUGGACAAUGGGGGGAACCCUGAUCCAGCCAUGCCGCGUGUCUGAAGAAGGCCUUCGGGUUGUAAAGGACUUUUGUUAGGGAAGAAAAGCUGGGUGCUAAUACCAUCUAGUGCUGACGGUACCUAAAGAAUAAGCACCGGCUAACUACGUGCCAGCAGCCGCGGUAAUACGUAGGGUGCGAGCGUUAAUCGGAAUUACUGGGCGUAAAGCGAGCGCAGACGGUUAAAUAAGUCAGAUGUGAAAUCCCCGAGCUCAACUUGGGACGUGCAUUUGAAACUGUAUGACUAGAGUGUGUCAGAGGGAGGUAGAAUUCCACGUGUAGCAGUGAAAUGCGUAGAGAUGUGGAGGAAUACCGAUGGCGAAGGC
rnacentral:rRNA from 1 species